CAGCAGCCGCGGGAAUACAGAGGGUGCAAGCGUUAAUCGGAAUUACUGGGCGUAAAGCGCGCGUAGGUGGUUUGUUAAGUUGGAUGUGAAAUCCCCGGGCUCAACCUGGGAACUGCAUCCAAAACUGGCAAGCUAGAGUAUGGUAGAGGGUGGUGGAAUUUCCUGUGUAGCGGUGAAAUGCGUAGAUAUAGGAAGGAACACCAGUGGCGAAGGCGACCACCUGGACUGAUACUGACACUGAGGUGCGAAAGCGUGGGGAGCAAACAGGAUUAGAUACCCGGGUAGUCCCUGUCUCUUAUAA
rnacentral:rRNA from 1 species